GACGAACGCUGGCGGCGUGCUUAACACAUGCAAGUCGUACGGUAAGGCCCUUUCGGGGGUACACGAGUGGCGAACGGGUGAGUAACACGUGAGUAACCUGCCCACAACUUUGGGAUAACGCUAGGAAACUGGUGCUAAUACUGGAUAUGUGCUUCUGCUGCAUGGUGGGGGUUGGAAAGCUCCGGCGGUUGUGGAUGGACUCGCGGCCUAUCAGCUUGUUGGUGGGGUAGUGGCCUACCAAGGCGGCGACGGGUAGCCGGCCUGAGAGGGUGACCGGCCACAUUGGGACUGAGAUACGGCCCAGACUCCUACGGGAGGCAGCAGUGGGGAAUAUUGCACAAUGGGCGCAAGCCUGAUGCAGCAACGCCGCGUGCGGGAUGACGGCCUUCGGGUUGUAAACCGCUUUCAGCAGGGACGAAGCUUUUUGUGACGGUACCUGCAGAAGAAGCACCGGCUAACUACGUG
rnacentral:rRNA from 1 species